GGAGGACACGGGUAGCUUGGGAAGGCUGCUUUGUAGCAUUUUAAAAGAUGAAACUUUAAAAGAGGUUUGGGAAGGAGAAAAAAGUGGCGACAAGUGGACCUCAAAGCACAGGUUACAAAGAUCGGCCAAAAACUGACAUGGGAGAUGAUGCUGUAUGGGCUUACCUCUAAGGGACCAGAGGAUGUAGUACUAAAGAAAACUGUAGUUAAGUUUCAAAAUGAGUUUCUGGAAAGUACAGAAUUGACUGAUAUUUAAAGGGUUAGCUUUCAUGCGUGGAUACUCAAAACCGUGGUUGGCGAGGGAAACCUGUAUACCCACCCGAACUGUGAAGACAUUGGGACCCACCAAAGCAGUGAAGCAGAAUUGGAAGAAGAAGGAAUGGACUUACCUAUUUGUAACCAAGGCUGGGAACAGUUUUUAAAACGCUUUUAAUUCCUGUGACAUGGGGAUGUACAAAUGAUUUCAAAAGUGUUUAAAGGAGAGAUAU